CCACCACCAUAGAAUGCACUGCGCUAGGCUGAAACACAUGCAUUUUGGAGCUGCCUUGCACAAGAAAGCAAAAAAGAGACCAUGUUGAUUCCAGCUUUGUAAACAGAAAACUGUAUGGAUGUCAUGAUCGUAAUGGGAAGAAGAGGACCAAAGCACAUUGUGGAUCCCGUCUCCUCCUGGCCACACUGCUUGGUCCUUUUGUGGUGGGAUCUGCUGUCACGAUCGUCAUGGGAAGAAGAGGACCAAAGCGCAGUGUGGACUCUGCAGAAAUUGAUGACGCAACAGAUGGUGAGAUACGGACCGAUUCCGAGUUCUGACCAGUGGAAUGAUGAAUACAUGACUCCAGAUCUAGUAGAUGGACCCUUAUGAGGAGGCUAUGUUACAUGAGACCAUUUUUAAAGUUUAGGUUUCUUCUUGUGUUGAUGUUCAGACUGUUUUUUGAUGAAGAUUGUAACAAAAAUCCUGAUAAGAAGAGUUCUGAUGUAGGCCUAGAACAGUCAUUGUAAAUACAUAUAUUGGUUUUUGUGUGGUUGGUUUUUGGGGUAUAAUUGAUAUUUCAAAUAAAAAUAGAUGUGGGAUUGUGUGUAUAAUAUUAAUACCAUUGCCAUUAAUACAGGUAACGAGUGGAGGACAGAGGAGCCUCUUAAAAAACCAUUUACAGAUCUGUGAGAGCCAGAAAUCUUGCUUGUUUCUAGGUGACCAAAUACUUAUUUUCCACCAUAAUUUGCAAAUAAAUUCAUUAAAAAUCCUACAAUGUGAUUUUUUUCCUCAUUUUGUCUGUCAUAGUUGAAGUGUACCUAUGAUGAAAAUUACAGGCCUCUCUCAUAUUUUUAAGUGGGAGAACUUGCACAAUUGGUGCCUGACUAAAUACUUUUUUGCCCCACUGUAUGUCACGUUCUGACCUUAGUUCCUUUGUUAUGUCUUUCGUUUUUGUAUGGUCAGGGCGUGAGUUGGGUGGGUUGUCUAUGUUUUUCUAUUUCUGUAUUUGGCCUGAUAUGGUUCUCAAUCAGAGGCAGCUGUCAAUCGUUAUCCCUGAUUGAGAACCAUAUUUAGGUAGCCUGUUUUCCAAUGUGUUUUGUGGGUGGUUAUUUUCUGUUUAGUGUUGUGUUGCACCUUACAAGACUGUUCGUUGGUUGUUUAUUGUUUUGUUUUCAGUGUUCAUUAAAAAAAAA